rnacentral:rRNA from 1 species
AGUGAGCGCUGGCGGCGUGCUUAACACAUGCAAGUCGAACGAGAACGGAAUAUAGCUUGCUAUAUUUGUCAGCUAAGUGGCGCACGGGUGAGUAAUGUAUAGAUAACCUGCCCUUAAGAAAGGAAUAACAGUUGGAAACGACUGCUAAUGCCCUAUAUGCCUUUAAUACAUAAGUAUGCAAGGGAAACGCUUUAGUGCUUAAGGAUGGGCCCGCGUCUGAUUAGCUAGUUGGUGAGGUAAUGGCUCACCAAGGCGACGAUCAGUAGCCGACCUGAGAGGGCGGACGGCCACACUGGAACUGAGACACGGUCCAGACUCCUACGGGAGGCAGCAGUGGGGAAUAUUGCACAAUGGGCGCAAGCCUGAUGCAGCAACGCCGCGUGAGUGAAGAAGGCCUUCGGGUCGUAAAGCUCUGUCCUGUGGGAAGAACAAAUGACGGUACCACAGGAGGAAGCCCCGGCUAACUACGUGCCAGCCGCCGCUGUAA